AUUGAACGCUGGCGGCAUGCUUUACACAUGCAAGUCGAACGGCAGUACGGACUUCGGUCUGGUGGCGAGUGGCGAACGGGUGAGUAAUACAUCGGAACGUGCCCAGUCGUGGGGGAUAACUACUCGAAAGAGUAGCUAAUACCGCAUGAGAACUGAGGUUGAAAGCAGGGGAUCGUAAGACCUUGCGCAACUGGAGCGGCCGAUGGCAGAUUAGGUAGUUGGUGGGAUAAAAGCUUACCAAGCCGACGAUCUGUAGCUGGUCUGAGAGGACGACCAGCCACACUGGGACUGAGACACGGCCCAGACUCCGACGGGAGGCAGCAGUGGGGAAUUUUGGACAAUGGGCGAAAGCCUGAUUCAGCAAUGCCGCGUGCAGGAUGAAGGCCUUCGGGUUGUAAACUGCUUUUGUACGGAACGAAAAGCUUCGGGCUAAUACCCUGGAGUCAUGACGGUACCGUAAGAAUAAGCACCGGCUAACUACGUGCCAGCAGCCGCAGUAAGAC
rnacentral:rRNA from 1 species